rnacentral:rRNA from 1 species
AGGAUGAACGCUGGCGGCGUGCUUAACACAUGCAAGUCAAGGGGGCCCAGCAAUGGGCAACCGGCGAACGGGUGCGUAACACGUGAGCAACCUACCGAAAUGUGGGGGAUAGCCGGCCCAACGGCCGGGUAAUACCGCAUACGCUCGAGACCAGGCAUUUGGACUCGAGGAAAUUUACGGAGCAUUUUCGAGGGGCUCGCGGCCUAUCAGCUAGUUGGUGAGGUAACGCUCACCAAGGCUACGACGGGUAGC